GACAGUGGCGUCGCACGAGAGAGAGGAUGAAGAUGGGGAGAGGCGGCGGCGGCGGCUUGGAGGGAGAUCGAGGAAGAGGAGGGAGGGUCGCGUGGGGGCGUGGGUGGGGAAGCGCUAGGUUUUUACCGGGCGUUCGCCCGUGACUCUCCUCUCUCACGCAGGCACGGG